CCUACGGGAGGCAGCAGUGGGGAAUAUUGGACAAUGGGCGAAAGCCUGAUCCAGCAAUGCCGCGUGAGUGAUGAAGGCCUUAGGGUUGUAAAGCUCUUUUACCCGGGAUGAUAAUGACAGUACCGGGAGAAUAAGCUCCGGCUAACUCCGUGCCAGCAGCCGCGGUAAUACGGAGGGAGCUAGCGUUGUUCGGAAUUACUGGGCGUAAAGCGUACGUAGGCGGUUAUUCAAGUCAGAGGUGAAAGCCUGGGGCUCAACUCCAGAACUGCCUUUGAAACUAGAUAGCUAGAAUCAUGGAGAGGUCAGUGGAAUUCCGAGUGUAGAGGUGAAAUUCGUAGAUAUUCGGAAGAACACCAGUGGCGAAGGCGACUGACUGGACAUGUAUUGACGCUGAGGUACGAAAGCGUGGGGAGCAAACAGGAUUAGAUACCCUGGUAGUCCACGCCGUAAACGAUGAUAACUAGCUGUUCGGACCUUUAAGGUUUGAGUGGCGCAGCUAACGCAUUAAGUUAUCCGCCUGGGGAGUACGGUCGCAAGAUUAAAACUUAAAUGAAUUGACGG
rnacentral:rRNA from 1 species